CACACCCACCAAAGACAUUGAUUUUCACAUACCGCACAGCUAGCUAGUAUAAACUAGUACAUGCAGUACAGAGCUAGAGCUAGAGGCAAAACCUGGCUCCAUUGCUAAAGUAUUACAGCAUUCUCCGGCUGGAAAGAUGUUAGUUUGAGGCUGAGAAUGCUGCCCUGUCAGUAAUUAACCCGACGUAUUCAAGUUGAGGAAAAGAGUGAGACCAUUCAAUGUCUAGAGGAUGACCUGCUGAGGGAGCUGGAGGAGAAGCUGCUCGAGAGGUCUCAAAUCAUGGACCCAGGUGUCAUGGCUGAGCUGGUGAGAGAAUUGGA